GGGGAAGCAGCCGUCGGCGGCGGCCGUGAGCCCGGCUGGGGAAGCGGAGAGGGUGGUAGGCGCAGAGCGCGGUCCCCGCCCGCCGGCUCCGAGCCAUGGGAAGAUGAGACAGGAAUCAGUGCCACCUGAAUUGUUUGAUCCAGUGAAUCUGCAAAGAAAGGUCUCUGAGGCCCCCCGUCUGCUGACUGCAUGACAAACCCUAAAGGAAAUGCCAGUCGUGAUGGCCCGGGACCUGGAGGAGACAGCAUCAUCCUCAGAGGAUGAGGAGGUGGUAAGCCAAGAGGAUCAUCCGUGUAUCAUGUGGACCGGAGGCUGCAGGAGAAUUCCAGUUUUGGUAUUCCAUGCUGAGGCUAUUCUGACAAAGGACAACAAUAUUCGAGUAAUUGGCGAACGUUAUCAUUUGUCUUACAAGAUUGUGCGAACAGAUAGUCGCCUGGUACGCAGCAUUCUGACAGCCCAUGGAUUUCAUGAAGUUCACCCAAGCAGCACUGACUAUAACCUAAUGUGGACAGGAUCCCACCUGAAGCCCUUCUUACUUCGCACCCUUUCUGAAGCACAAAAGGUUAAUCACUUUCCCAGGUCAUAUGAACUAACCCGGAAGGACCGACUGUACAAAAACAUCAUUCGAAUGCAGCAUACGCAUGGAUUCAAGGCUUUUCACAUCCUCCCUCAGACCUUUCUUCUGCCAGCUGAGUAUGCGGAAUUCUGUAAUUCAUACUCAAAGGACCGGGGACCUUGGAUAGUAAAACCAGUGGCCUCUUCUAGGGGGCGGGGCGUCUACCUGAUCAACAAUCCAAACCAGAUUUCCCUGGAAGAGAACAUCCUGGUCUCCCGUUACAUUAACAACCCCCUGCUCAUAGAUGAUUUCAAGUUUGAUGUGCGCCUCUAUGUGCUUGUGACUUCCUACGAUCCCCUUGUCAUCUAUCUCUAUGAAGAAGGGCUGGCUAGGUUUGCAACCGUGCGAUAUGAUCAAGGAGCCAAGAACAUUCGGAACCAGUUCAUGCACCUGACAAACUACAGUGUGAAUAAGAAGAGUGGAGACUAUGUGAGUUGUGAUGAUCCAGAAGUGGAGGAUUAUGGGAACAAAUGGAGCAUGAGUGCCAUGCUUAGGUAUCUGAAACAAGAAGGUAGAGAUACAACUGCAUUGAUGGCCCAUGUGGAAGACCUGAUUAUUAAGACUAUAAUCUCUGCUGAACUAGCUAUUGCUACAGCCUGUAAAACCUUUGUUCCUCACCGCAGCAGUUGUUUUGAACUCUAUGGCUUUGAUGUGCUCAUAGAUUCUACUCUGAAGCCAUGGUUGUUGGAAGUAAAUCUCUCUCCUUCUUUGGCCUGUGACGCACCUCUGGACCUAAAGAUUAAAGCCAGUAUGAUUUCAGACAUGUUCACUGUUGUAGGAUUUGUGUGCCAGGACCCUGCCCAGCGGGCAUCAACCCGGCCAAUUUAUCCCACCUUUGAGUCUUCCAGGCGGAACCCUUUCCAGAAACCUCAGCGUCCAGUGUCUGCACAGUUUCAGUCCUCAAACGCCAAACAGCGUUCCCGUCCCCUCUCUGCCAGUGAUGCGGAAAUGAAAAACCUUGUGGGCUCAGCCCGAGAGAAGGUUCCGGGGAAGUUAGGUGGUUCUGUGCUCGGUCUGUCAAUGGAGGAGAUCAAAGUUUUACGGAGAGUGAAGGAAGAAAAUGAUCGGAGAGGUGGAUUUAUUCGCAUAUUCCCUACAUCAGAGACAUGGGAAAUAUAUGGGUCCUACCUCGAACACAAGACUUCCAUGAACUAUAUGCUGGCAACACGUCUCUUCCCGGACAGGGGAAACCCAAGAAGAAGCUUAUUGACAGGAAGAACACGACUGGCUGCUGACGGAGCACCGGAAUUGAAGGUGGAGAGUAUGAACUCCAAGGCCAAACUGCACGCUGCCCUCUAUGAGAGGAAGCUCCUGUCUUUGGAGGUGCGGAAACGUCGACGACGGAAUGGCAGAUUGAGGGCAAUGAGGCCAAAAUACCCAGGUACCUGCUGCAACAUUAGUGAUUCUUCGCAUUUAGUGAUCACUCAACCAGCUGAAAUGAAUGUUAAAACCGAGACAGAGAGUGAAGAGGAGGAAGAAGUUGCAUUAGAUGACGAAGAUGAAGAACAGGAGGCUUCCCAGGAGGAGUCUGCAGGGUCCCUCGGAGAAAGUCAAGCCAAAUACACCCCCCCACUGACUGUUAUGGUAGAAAAUUCACCCAAAGAAAAUGCUGCGAAAGUUUCUGAAUGGAACAAUAAAGGUGAACAGUGCUGCAAAAUUGAGACUCAGGAGCCAGAGCCUAAAUUUAACCUGAUGCAGAUUCUGCAAGAUAACGGCAAUCUUAGCAAAGUGCAGGCCCGAAGAGCGUUCUCUGCCUAUCUCCAGCAUGUUCAGAUUCGCCUGAUGAAAGACAGUGGAGGUCAAACGUUCAGUGCCAGUUGGGCUGCCAAAGAGGAUGAACAGAUGGAGCUAGUGGUUCGCUUCCUUAAACGAGCAUCAAGUAACCUCCAGCACUCGAUGCGGAUGGUAUUACCCAGUCGACGAUUGGCACUUCUGGAACGCAGAAGAAUCUUGGCCCACCAACUGGGCGACUUUAUUCUUGUGUACAACAAGGAAACAGAACAGAUGGCUGAAAAGAAAUCAAAGAAGAAACUUGAGGAAGAGGAGGAAGAUGGGGUGAAUACAGAAAACUUUCAGGAGUUCAUCAGACAAGCAAGUGAGGCUGAACUGGAGGAGGUGUUGACUUUUUAUACCCAAAAAAACAAGUCUGCAAGUGUCUUCCUGGGGACUCACUCAAAAAGUUCUAAAAACAGCAACAGUUAUUCUGAUAGCAGGGCAAAGGGUGAUCACCAUGAGACAAUGGAAGAAGUGAAAAUAAAGCAACCCAAACAGCAGCAGGCAACAGAAAUUCACUCUGAUAAAUUAUCUCGAUUUACCACUUCAGCAGAACAAGAGGCUAAAUUAGUCUAUACCAAUUCUUCCUCUGCUUCUUUCUCUGGUCCUGCUGCUACUCUUCUGCAGAAAAUUCCCAAUACCCACUUGUCAUCUAUUGUUACAACCUCUGACCUCUCACCGGGGCCUGGCCAUCAUUCUUCUUUAUGUCAGAUUCCUCCAGCUAUCCCCAGCAUGUCUCACCAGCCAACAAUUGUACUGAGCACAGUCCCUGACAAUGCUUCUCCCUUCGUGCAUCCUGGGACACAGAACGUACCAAGCCCGGCUGGCCUGCCCCGCUGUCGAUCAGGCAGUUACACCAUUGGCCCCUUUUCCUCUUUCCAAAGUGCUGCACACAUCUAUAGCCAGAAACUGUCUCGUCCCUCCUCAGCAAAGGCAGCAGGGUCAUGCCAUCCAAACAAGCUGCAUUUGGGAGUGGCUAAAACACAAAAAGAGGGAGAAGAUGAUUCUCCAUCCAGCAAACGGUACAACCCAAGUAUGGUUACGGCCGAGCUCCAGCGGCUGGCUGAGAAGCAGGCGGCCAGGCAGUAUUCCCCAUCCACCCACAUCAGUCUCCUCACCCAGCAGGUAACAAACCUGAAUUUGUCAAGUGGCGCCAUAAGCAGAAGCAGCGCUUCAACGCCCCCCACCCUUCGGCCCGUGAUCAGUCCUAAUGGCCCGACAUGGCCCAUACAGUCAGACCUUCAGGCUCCUGAGAGCCACCCCACCCCUCCUGGAAGCAGGAGCCUUCAAACAGGUGGCUUUGCCUGGGAGGGAGAGGUAGAGAACAACGCAUAUAGCAAGGCUACAGGGGUUGUCCCUCAGCACAAGUAUCACCCCACAGCGGGCAGUUACCAACUCCAUUUUGCCCUGCAGCAACUUGAACAACAAAAACUUCAGUCCCGGCAGCUUCUGGACCAGAGUCGAGCCCGGCAUCAGCUAGUGAACAUCAUCGUAAGACUAGAAAAGUAUGUUGAAAAAUGCCCAACCAGCUGCCAUUCACAGACCCUACAGAGGCAGACCUGCAUGCCAUCCCAUCCUUCGGAUCCUCAGCAAACGGAGGCCAUCUUUGGCAGCCAGACCCUACCUAACUCCAAUUUAUGGACAAUAAAUAAUGGUGCAGCUUGCAGAAUUUCAAGUGCCACAGCUAGUGGCCAGAAGCCAGCCGCUCUACCGCAAAAAGUGGUGCCGGCUCCAAGUUCUUCCUCCUCGCUGGUCCCCAAGCCCCCAGCCAAUCACAAACAAGUCCUCAGGAAGAUGACAUCCCAGAAGGCCUCCAAAGGGUCCACAGAAGGGCAGCUGAAUGGACUCCAGAGCAGCCUUAACUCUGCAGCCUUUGUGCCCAUCACCAGCUCCACAGAUCCUGCUCGCACUAAAAGAUGAGCCACAACCGCACUGGGGAAGAACCUAUUUGCUGUCCCGCUACUGCCAUGGGUGUGUCGGAGGCGCUGCGAGGGGUCCAUGCAGAUGGCGGGCCCAGGCCGCUCCCCGCGGGCAGCUCCUGUACCUGGGAAGCUCGUAUGUGCAAAUGUGUCCGUUGUCAGCCCGCAGCAGACAGGUCCUCUAGUGGCCAGUGGAUCUGCACCCGUAAACAGUUCGUCAGAAGGAGGCCGCACAGCCCCUGAUGGCUUUCCACUUGACCUCUGCUCCCUUGCCCCCUCACCUUUCCCCGGCCCUCUCUCUGGCUUCUGUGGAAGAAGAGGUUGAAAGGUGGGCUACAGAGCCCACCGAAGGACUGACUUAGCUGCCCUGGGGAGUACUGGGCGAGGAUCCAGAGUCUGGGGUUUCUACAACAGGGUGCUGUAGACUCAGCAUGGAAACCCCAAAGGAAGAAUGACACCCAACAAGGAAGAGAGAAAAGGGACUUUAUUGACUUCUUAGCGAACGAAAACAGGUUUGAGCACACUGAAGCGUCUUGUUUGCGUGUGAGGGAUGAAGACCCUCACUUUGCGGGAGAAGAGAGAACGUAUUCAUGGGAUUUCUGGUUAGUAGCUUGAGGUCCAUCUUAACCGUUUGCUAAUUUGGUUGUGAAUUGGUUAACGGGAGACAAAUCGGAGUUCCUUCAUGAUUCCCUAAGUGGUGUGUAGAACCAGGAAAUGAGAUGUUUGGGGAGACUCAGCAUAUGGAUCUUGUGGGAGAGGAUAAGAGGGUAUGAGCCCAGUUUAAAAACCAAAAAACAAAAGACCUUUGAGACCUACUAGACCGCUUGGAAUUGCCCUAGGUAACCGUCAGAAUUGAGUCCUCAACCUGAUUUCUUACGGCACUCACCACUUGCUUAUCCGGUGUGAGACCAGACUCCAGAUCUCUCCUUCAUUUAACCAAGUGCUUUUCACAUCAUCUCUCCUGUACUGGACUUCUUGUGGCAAGUCCAAGUCUUGGUAAUAAACAAAACAGAUCAUACGAUCCGCCCCCCCACCUCCAACAACCGUGUCAUUUCCACGUGUCCCUACCUCCCUUCCCCCAAAACAAGCGUGUAUUUUUUUUCAGACAGACAGACAAUGGUUCAAGUUUCUGCAGUGCCUAUAAGUGGCAUGUGGAAUGCAGAGACUGGACUUCAGACCCCCGUCCAUAUUUGUAUCUGCUGGUAAAGAUAAGAAUAGAGCUCUAAUAUAAAAAGAACAUUUGGAAUCACA